GAAGUUAGACAAGUUUUAAACCACG
rnacentral:snRNA from 1 species